rnacentral:rRNA from 1 species
AGUGAACGCUGGCGGUAGGCCUAACACAUGCAAGUCGAACGGCAGCACAGGAGAGCUUGCUUUCUGGGUGGCGAGUGGCGGACGGGUGAGGAAUACAUCGGAAUCUACUCUGUCGUGGGGGAUAACGUAGGGAAACUUACGCUAAUACCGCAUACGACCUACGGGUGAAAGCAGGGGACCUUCGGGCCUUGCGCGAUUGAAUGAGCCGAUGUCGGAUUUGCUAGUUGGCGGGGUAAAGGCCCACCAAGGCGACGAUCCGUAGCUGGUCUGAGAGGAUGAUCAGCCACACUGGAACUGAGACACGGUCCAGACUCCUACGGGAGGCAGCAGUGGGGAAUAUUGGACAAUGGGCGCAAGCCUGAUCCAGCCAUACCGCGUGGGUGAAGAAGGCCUUCGGGUUGUAAAGCCCUUUUGUUGGGAAAGAAAUCCAGCUGGCUAAUACCCGGUUGGGAUGACGGUACCCAAAGAAUAAGCACCGGCUAACUUCGUGCCAGCAGCCGCCGUAA